CAGUCGCCACGGUAAUACGUAGGGUGCAAGCGUUAAUCGGAAUUACUGGGCGUAAAGCGUGCGCAGGCGGUUUGUUAAGACAGAUGUGAAAUCCCCGGGCUCAACCUGGGAACUGCAUUUGUGACUGGCAAGCUAGAGUCUGGCAGAGGGGGGUGGAAUUCCGCGUGUAGCAGUGAAAUGCGUAGAUAUGCGGAGGAACACCGAUGGCGAAGGCAGCCCCCUGGGCCAACACUGACGCUCAUGCACGAAAGCGUGGGGAGCAAACAGGAUUAGAUACCCCGGUAGUCCCUGUCUCUUAUAC
rnacentral:rRNA from 1 species